rnacentral:ncRNA from 2 species
CCCACGCACCUGGGGAGCUCCGGCAAGGAGCUGAGAGGCCGAUGGGACGCGGGACGCGUCGCGCGGCGACCCAUCGAACCUGAUCCAGUUCGUACUGGCGAAGGGAGGGACGUGCGCGCGCAU